GACGAACCGUGCGAACGUUGUUCGGAAUCACUGGGCUUAAAGGGCGCGUAGGCGGGUCAGCAAGUCCGAGGUGAAAUCUUUCGGCUCAACCGGAAAAGUGCCUUGGAUACUGCUGGUCUUGAGGGAGGUAGGGGCAUGUGGAACUUCCGGUGGAGCGGUGAAAUGCGUUGAUAUCGGAAGGAACUCCGGUGGCGAAAGCGACGUGCUGGACCUCUUCUGACGCUGAGGCGCGAAAGCUAGGGGAGCGAACGGG
rnacentral:rRNA from 1 species